rnacentral:ncRNA from 1 species
UAGAUUAUUUUAAGUUAAUUGAUUAAUUUGCAGGGAGGAAAGAUCUAGAUGUUUAUAAAAUAGUUUUUGUUAAAAAAGUUUUACUUUAGCUUAAGAAAUUAGGUAUUAUUUUUUAUUAUAUGUAAAUUUUAUUAAAGAAUAAUUUGCAGUAUUUAAUAUUAUUAAUUUAAGAAAUUAAGAAUUAUAAAUAAUAUAAAAUAUAAACUAAAUUUGUGCCAGCAGUUGCGGUUAUACAAAUUAUAUAAAUUAAUUUUAUUAAUUUUAAUUAGUUAGUAAUAUUAAAUUUUUAAAUUAAGUUUGUUAAGUGAAAUUAUAAAUUUAAAAUAAAAUUUUAAUUUGGUAAUAAUUUUAAGAAGUUUUAGAUAUAGACUAGGAUUAGAUACCCUAUUAUUUAAAAGGUAAUUUAUUAAUUUAAUUAGUAUUAGUUAUGAUCUUGAAAAUUAAAAAUUUUGGCGGUAUUUUAAUCUAUUCAGAGGAACCUGUUCUAUAAAUGAUAAUCCACGAUUUUAAUUACUUUUAUUAUUAAUUUAUAUAUCGUCGUUAUUUAAAUAUUUUUGUAGAAUUAUAAUAUUUAAAAUUUUUUAUAUAAAAAUAUUUCAGAUCAAGGUAUAGUUUAUAUAAAAGUAGAAAUGGGUUACAAUAAAUGUAUUUUUGGAUUUAUAUUUUUAAAGUAUAAUAAAUUUGGAUUUGAUAGUAAUUUUAAUUAAUUUAUUAAGAUGAUUUUAGUACUAAAAUAUGUACAUAUUGCCCGUCACUUUCAUUUAAUAUGAAAUAAGUCGUAACAGAGUAGAUUUACUGGAAAGUGUAUCUAGAAAACA